rnacentral:rRNA from 1 species
ACGAACGCUGGCGGCGUGCCUAAUACAUGCAAGUAGAACGCUGAAGAGAGGAGCUUGCUCUUCUUGGAUGAGUUGCGAACGGGUGAGUAACGCGUAGGUAACCUGCCUUGUAGCGGGGGAUAACUAUUGGAAACGAUAGCUAAUACCGCAUAACAAUGGAUGACACAUGUCAUUUAUUUGAAAGGGGCAAAUGCUCCACUACAAGAUGGGCCUGCGUUGUAUUAGCUAGUAGGUGAGGUAACGGCUCACCUAGGCGACGAUACAUAGCCGACCUGAGAGGGUGAUCGGCCACACUGGGACUGAGACACGGCCCAGACUCCUACGGGAGGCAGCAGUAGGGAAUCUUCGGCAAUGGGGGCAACCCUGACCGAGCAACGCCGCGUGAGUGAAGAAGGUUUUCGGAUCGUAAAGCUCUGUUGUAAGUCAAGAACGAGUGUGAGAGUGGAAAGUUCACACUGUGACGGUAGCUUACCAGAAAGGGACGGCUAACUACGUGCCAGCAGCCGCGGUAAUACGUAGGUCCCGAGCGUUGUCCGGAUUUAUUGGGCGUAAAGCGAGCGCAGGCGGUUUGAUAAGUCUGAAGUUAAAGGCUGUGGCUCAACCAUAGUUCGCUUUGGAAACUGUCAAACUUGAGUGCAGAAGGGGAGAGUGGAAUUCCAUGUGUAGCGGUGAAAUGCGUAGAUAUAUGGAGGAACACCGGUGGCGAAAGCGGCUCUCUGGUCUGUAACUGACGCUGAGGCUCGAAAGCGUGGGGAGCGAACAGGAUUAGAUACCCUGGUAGUCCACGCCGUAAACGAUGAGUGCUAGGUGUUGGAUCCUUUCCGGGAUUCAGUGCCGCAGCUAACGCAUUAAGCACUCCGCCUGGGGAGUACGACCGCAAGGUUGAAACUCAAAGGAAUUGACGGGGGCCCGCACAAGCGGUGGAGCAUGUGGUUUAAUUCGAAGCAACACGAAGAACCUUACCAGGUCUUGACAUCCCGAUGCUAUUUCUAGAGAUAGAAAGUUACUUCGGUACAUCGGUGACAGGUGGUGCAUGGUUGUCGUCAGCUCGUGUCGUGAGAUGUUGGGUUAAGUCCCGCAACGAGCGCAACCCCUAUUGUCAGUUGCCAUCAUUCAGUUGGGCACUCUAGCGAGACUGCCGGUAAUAAACCGGAGGAAGGUGGGGAUGACGUCAAAUCAUCAUGCCCCUUAUGACCUGGGCUACACACGUGCUACAAUGGUUGGUACAACGAGUUGCGAGUCGGUGACGGCAAGCUAAUCUCUUAAAGCCAAUCUCAGUUCGGAUUGUAGGCUGCAACUCGCCUACAUGAAGUCGGAAUCGCUAGUAAUCGCGGAUCAGCACGCCGCGGUGAAUACGUUCCCGGGCCUUGUACACACCGCCCGUCACACCACGAGAGUUUGUAACACCCGAAGUCGGUGAGGUAACCUUUUGGAGCCAGCCGCCUAAGGUGGGAUAGAUA